UACGAAGGGGGCUAGCGUUGUUCGGAAUUACUGGGCGUAAAGCGCACGUAGGCGGAUAUUUAAGUCAGACGUGAAAUCCCUCAGCUUAACUGGGGAACUGCGUCUGAUACUGGAUGGCUUGAGUGCAGGAGAGGAACGCGGAAUUCCAGGUGUAGCGGUGAAAUGCGUAGAUAUCUGGAGGAACACCGGUGGCGAAGGCGGCGUUCUGGACUGCAACUGACACUGAGGAACGAAAGCCAGGGGAGCAAACGGG
rnacentral:rRNA from 1 species